AUACGUAGGGCGCAAGCGUUAAUCGGAAUUACUGGGCGUAAAGCGUGCGCAGGCGGUUUUGUAAGACAGUGGUGAAAUCCCCGGGCUCAACCUGGGAACUGCCAUUGUGACUGCAAGGCUGGAGUGCGGCAGAGGGGGAUGGAAUUCCGCGUGUAGCAGUGAAAUGCGUAGAUAUGCGGAGGGACACCGAUGGCGAAGGCAAUCCCCUGGGCCUGCACUGACGCUCAUGCACGAAAGCGUGGGGAGCAAACAGGAUUAGAUACCCUGGUAGUCCACGCCCUAAACGAUGUCAACUGGUUGUUGGGGAUUUAUUUUCUCAGUAACGAAGCUAACGCGUGAAGUUGACCGCCUGGGGAGUACGGCCGCAAGGUUAAAACUCAAAGGAAUUGACGGGG
rnacentral:rRNA from 1 species